AUAUAUUAAAACCAAAAGAAGUAACAAAAGAGGUAAGGAAUUGGGCCAAAACUACCUCAACCAAAAGCAAACCUAAAGUUUGGUUGCCAAGCUUUUCUCUAGAGUACAAAUCAGUGAGCUGAGAAGGUAAACUAUGUCAAACCAUUGAUGAAUUGUCAACUAUACAACAUAAUGUUUUCUAACAUGUCAAUAAAUAAACUGUGAUUUAUAUUAUAAAAAAAAUGUUGUUUGUCAACUAAUUUUUUAUUACGAGUGCUCAUGUUUAAUACCUGGACACCUUGAUUAAAUCAAAAUUGUUUUUUCUAAAAUACCCUUUUAAUUCAUUUUCCACUUAUAUUAUUGACUCAACAAAAAAAUUCAUAUAAAGUGUCAUGGAGUUUAAUUUUCUUCAUCGUUUCUCAGUUUUCAUAAACUCUUAGUCAAGUUUCAAUCUUUUUAUCUAUUUCUAUUACAGAUUCCUUUUCCCUUGUUCUUUGAUCAGAGGUUGAGUGAACGUGAACUCAAGAAGGGUAUGAUUUUUUUUUUCUUUCUUUUCACCUUUCUCUGUUUUGGUAUUGUUGUUAUAGUGAAGUUUUUUUUAUCAACAAUCACUAGUUUAAAAUUUAAAUUUUGCAGAGUUUAUUUGUGUAAUUGGUAUUUUGUCCUUGAAGUUAUUUGUUUUCUUGGAGUGUUUUUAUUAAUUUUUAAAGUGAGGAAUUUUGACCGUGUAUCUUUUAGGGGUUGCAAAAUGGAAAAUUCAAAAAAGCAAAAUGGAAAUUGGGGUGUAAACAGAAAAG
rnacentral:lncRNA from 1 species